GUGGUCGUUCACGAUAGUUUUUCGUCAGAUUGACAUUAUCAAACUUAAAUACAGAGAGCACAUGGAUGCAUAGCGCGCACAUCUCUAGAUCCGAGGAAUCACUUGAGAUAUUCCUUUCGCCUGAUUCUCAGACUCAGGAGUAGGAGGGUAGUGUUACGGUAGUAUCCUGAAUAUCUCAGAUCUGGUAUGUUGUCAUUGACGUCUCUGAUCAGCAGGCUAUCCGUGCAGUCAUCGACCC
rnacentral:lncRNA from 1 species